AAGUAUUCAAGUUAAAAUAAUUUUUAUAAGAGUGAAAUAUCCACUUAGUUUAAAAAAAAUUGCCAAUUUCUGUGAAAGCCAAACAAGAUUCAUACCAAUAUUUGAAUAAUUAUAUAAUAUACCUUUAUUUACCCUGAAUUAAUAACUAAACGUGUGUCUGAUAUUUACUUAUCGGGUAAUACAUACGAGAUAGUAUUAAGUACACAGGUAACAGUCAUUAAAUACACGUGUAUCAGUAAAAAAUACCCGUGUAUUGAAAACACGGGUAUUAAUAGAUUUAAUACACGUGUACAAGUAACGCGGGUACACGUAUACUCUAAUAACCAUGUAUGACUACGACCCCUAAUUUAAAUGGAUGGCCUGAGUUUUAAAACCACAAAAUCAUCGAAUGGUACGAUUAUCUUGAAAUAAUAUAGCGAUUGAUGUUAGCAAAAAUGAUACACGAGGGCAAUGAAUCGACUCCGACCGAAAUCUUGGCGAACAGCAUUCAACAAGGCGAUUUCCAUGAUGAGUCGAAGACGAUAUAUUAUUGCGUUAGAUAAGAAACACGCAAAUGCAGAGGGCGAAAACCAAUUCGGGACAUUGGAUUGGAGCUCGAGAACCAAUUCGGUACCAGCCAACGGAUUGACAGUAAUCUUAUCUAAGAUAAGUUAACUUUCCGUCGAAGGUCGAAACUCAAAAAUUUCCGCAGAUUAUAUUUAUAUUUAUUCACCAACAAUAUUAUAGUCUAUCAGUGGUUGGAAGCAGCGUAUUUAUUUCACGUUGUAGACCUAAAGUCGGGAGCACGAAAAAUGAUCGCUACUCGUCAUGCGCCAAGCGGCUAGCCGCUAGCCGCGGCUGUUUUUCUAAAGUGGUUAUCAAAUCUACGCUCUUUAAUGUUGUUCAUGUUAUCGCCAGUGAUAUAUAAAUACAAUUUAUAUAUACUAUAAAUACAAGGAGUGUCUAAACACAGGAAUGCAACUUAACCAUUCUGCGUAUGCGCGUAAUUUAUUCACCACUAUUAUAAUGUUAAGCUGUUACAUAGAGUUAUUCUAUGGGCUGUUAUCAAUAUAUCAUAUCAAAUCACUAUAAUAAUAUGAGUUAUGAAUCUAAUUAUU